GCCAGGAUUUUCGCCCCCCACCCCAGUCCCGCUCGCCAUCCACGGCGCAGCCCCCGCCCGGCGCUACCCAGUCCCGCUCGCGAUCCCCGACGCCCGGCGCUACCGAUGUAGCCCGCCCCGCCCGUGACCAGCACGGUCCUCCCCGCACUCGCGCCGAGCAGCGUCUUCUCCACCGCCAUGGCAGCCUAGCGCGCGCAGCUUCCCUCCCGCAACCGCAAGCUGCUACCUACCUCCCCGCCUGCCGGCACCGGCCUCUGCCUCCUCGACCAUAGCGCGAGCCAAGGGAGGAGGAGGAGAGGAGGCCCUCUUCCCCGCGGGGCGCGCGGAUCUAGCCGGGGCCUGGAGGAAGCAGGCGGGGAACGUGGGGAGUGGUAAUUUUACUAAUUCAUGUUAGCAGUGGCAUAUAGAGUAGGUAAUUUCUCCAGAUCAGAUGUUCGCGGCCCCCGAAUCGAGCCCUCGACAGCGCGAGACCUCUCCCCGCGGCGCCCAAAUCCUGCCAUGGUCGAGGGCUUCCUACCACGGCUCCUUCCCUUCGUCGUGUGGCCUCGACAGUGUCGACAGCGCGCGACCUCCAAAUUGUCGUCAUCGCACCGACAUCGCCCCAGGUCGACGAUAAUCUGGCAGCCCACAACCCCGUCAUCCCCGUCAUCGCCCCUGGCGGCCAGAUCCUUGUCCCACGAGGAUGUCGUCGGUGAAGAAGCUCUUUGCGCCCCCAGCCCGGUGCGCAGAUCGGCUGUUGGGGGAGAACUCCCCGGCGCCCCACACGAGGAGACGAGAUCACCGUCUGUAUCUCCCCGCCCCCUCCCGAUCGUCAAACCCGCGCGAGCAACCCUAGCGCUAGCUCUCACUCCUCCCUCCGUAGUCGCCCCCUCCUCAACGCGAGCCAUAGCCGACCCCUCACCGGGCGCUCCCUCGUUGUGUUGUAGGCCGAGGUCACCAUCGCCUCCUCCAUGCUAUCCCCUUAUCCGGCUUCGAGAGGAUCUCCGACGAAGUCUCUCUGAAGGCCACAGGCUGUCCAACUAUGGGGACCUCGUCCGAGGAUUUGAUCAAGGCGACCGACGGCUCGGAGGUUGAUUUGGCGUCCGCUUCCUCUCGACCUUCUCCCUGGCAACGUUUGCCCGGGCAUGGGCCAGGGUCAUUGACGAGUUCACGUUUGCCAUCACGAUCGCCUUGGUUGUUUUGGGAGGCUAGACGGUCUCUGCAACAAUGUGUUCAUGUCCAUCUCUCUCGCCAGCAUGUACGACAGGUGUGGCGAGAUGGGCGAGGCUAAACUACAACCGCAGUGAUGUCGAUCAGGUUGUGUUUCCUUAUAGUUCUUGUGCUGCUGCCUGCGCAGUGUUGCGAUUACUAAGGAUGAUAUUAAGGUCUUUGUCGCGGUGCCGUCGAAAUCUAGCACUGAGUUUCCUAAUGCUGCCUGGUGGUACGAGGCCGUCUCUGCGGCUGUAGCCUCAAUAUUUGAUUUAUUUCAUUGAUUGCAAAUUUGUAGGUGCAGUUGGUUGAUUUAUUUAACUGUUUGCAAAUUUAUAAGUGUCGUAGAUUAACACAUGUCGCUUGUUGCAGAUUCCCUGGUAAUGUUGUUGGCGUAAAUAUGCCUGCGUCAUCAGCUCCUACGGCAACUACUCUUGCUCCUGAGGACACAGGGAAGAUGACCAAGAUCGCUGCUACUAUCAUGAGUCUUUUGAUCAUGCAUAUAGCAACUAAUCUGCCACUAAGCAAGUAUAUGACACUGCAUUAGCCCAUUAUGACCUCAGUUCAUCUCCCCAAUGCGUUGUGUUGAAUGAGCCACCUCAUAAAAUGUCAACGCCAUGCCUUUCAGCAUUCAACCAACCAUCCAUUGCUUAUGCGCCAUGCCUUUCAGCAUUCAACCAACCAUCCAUUGCUUAUUCAGAGUUCACAUGGUUCUAGAAUCCUGGAUGCACCGACAAGCUGCAAAGUGUUUCCUUUUUUUUAAAAAAAAGAAAAGUUCAAGCUACCAGAGAUCACGCCCAUAUGGUGGGUUGGGUCCCUGAGGACCUAACAAGAAAUUGACUUCUGAUUUCAUUGAGCUAUAUCCAUGCGGUGGGGCAUCAGUUUUUAUUUGUUUGUUUUCUGCAUUUUGCAUGACUUCGUAAUUUUGUAUUGUAAACUAAUUUACUUGGAGAUAGACCUAUUUUCUUGUAUAAACCAACUACAUUUUAUGCUUGCCCUUUGGAGAUACCAGGAUCACUAUGUACCUAUCGUAAGUGCCAACUAUUUAUUUGUUUUUGGUGUAACUCAUUUACUUCUUUUUUUUCAGAUUGGUAGUAAAUGACAGAUUAACACACCUGAGAGCUGCUAGGAUCAACAACUUUCUUUCAAAAUGCAUCUGUUCAUUCUUUUUUCUUUUGCAUUUAGAUUACCCUUUGUUUUGUGGUCUGUAAAUACCACAUGAGCAUGAGCACAUGGCCCUUAUGUUUGAACGAUUUCACAUAUUUUUAUAUAAUAUGUCUUUUUCAUGCAUAUGUAUCCCUACAUAUGCAUGCAUACAAAUUAUUUGGAUAAUUAAAUCUAACUUGAGUGUAUUCUGCUCUUCUUUCGCUAUAUAGAGAUGAAAUAUGUGAUAGAAUUAUCCAUAAAAACAUGGCUUGAUCUGUCCGCUGUUGUUGUAUAUUGAUCAAGAGAAGCAAGCUAGCUUCGAUGAGAAGAGCAGAAUGUUAGUUGGAUGUGGUUUGGUCUUCUUUCACCUGGUUAGUGGUCAACUGUACUAUGCUGCUACGAUCUUUCAGGUACCGACAUAUUGUUGGUUUCCUAUAUGGAUUAUAGAAUUAUCCAGUUCAAGCAUGCCUAGGUAUUAUAGAUGCCCAUUUGUGUUAGGACUUAUUAUGAUGAUCUCAACUUGGGAAUAAUUGCUAAACUUGUCUGGGCAACUUGGGAUCAUUACUUUUUAGACCCCACAUUAUAUAUUGAAUUCCUUUAUCACUUGUAUCUAUCAUUUGUUUGCAAGCAGAGAGUUGGAUUCUCUAGGGCAUUUGAUGUCACUCAUGUGUCAAUUCUUCUUAUUACUGAAGGUACAUGUGAACACUUUUGCAUAUGCUCUAUUGAAAUUUAACCUAAGUAUUUUUCAACUUUAAUAUGAUUUUUACACCCUAGAAAGGCAUUUUGUUACUGAUACAACUGCAUGCUAGGGGAAGUUCACAUGCAUAGCUUCUAUCCUGUGUUAGAGACAAUCUGUAGUUUUAUAUGGCCCCUGAUGUCCAUUAACCAGACCUUGAUCAGAGGUUGGUGACUAGAUAGCAUGUCACACCAUAAAAAAUUCCUUGCUUGCUUGCUUUAGUUGAGAAGGACAUGCCUCGUGCAGGUUGAGUAUUCGAAGCAGCCUCUCCGCAUGUGUGGGAGGAUGGCUUGCCUUGGUUUUUUUACUUCCCUAGACCUCAUUCGUGUAGGAUCCUCUAGCACCAGGUCUACCUUUUUUGCUUGCUUUGGCUGCUAAAGUUGUGCCCAGCUUUAAGGAGCAAAUAAAUUUGGAAAAAAAAACUCAUUUCAACAAAUAAAGCUGCUCUCAAAUAUCCAUUUGCAUGUUUGUUGCAUUUUUUUCAAUUAUUUGUUUAAGACUCUGUUGCAUCAUCACCAAGCUCUUGUGUUGUCCCCAAUAGCAUUUGUGAUUCUGGUUCAUUCAUUCGUGUACCAUGACAACAAAUUAACUUGCAAUAAUGUCGUGUUCACCUUAAGGUUGUCAACAUACAUGCUUCUUGUGAAAUAUUUAGAACUUACUAUGAUGAAUACCUUACUGCAUAAUCCAUUAAUAUGCUGAAGCAAUAUUCCUCUUUAACAUGGAAGGAAUAAAUAUACUAUUCUGGAGCUUAAUGGCAUUGACACAAUAUCUGAUAGACUUACUAGCUAUACUGAUAAUUGACAGGUGCAUGUUUCACAUUUAAUUUUUCUAUUUUCAUAGAACUAACACUAUCUGAGUAACUUGUUGUUAAAUUUGAGAUAUUAAGACAUCAGGACGGAUCCAAUCAACUUUUAUUAAGGCAUCUUCCUUCAGUAUCACUUGUGUUGUUGCUGCACUGCUCCUACCCACUCCAUCCGAGAAUGAGAAUAUACUCUAUCUAAAUCGAAUUGUUUAUAUGGACAAUACUCAUUAUUAUGUCUUUAUUUAUUGUAAUUGUUUGAUGUGGCUGAGAGGAGUUACUAUCGAAGGGAUCUUUCAUUCUUUGAACUUCUAGCCACCUGGUAUAGGAUCCUAAGGACAACAGAGACUCCAUCCAUCCUUAGCAAUGACCAUGAUCCAUGUUAGCAAAACCAGAUAUAUCCUGCUCUCAAUCAAUAAUUCAGUAUCAAGCAGUGGUUACUGUCGCUGCUUCCUUCCAGUCUGGUGGUUAUCUGAAGCAGCAAUUCCUACACCUUCAACAGCCUAUGCAGUCUCCACAGGAGCAGUGCAACCUCAAUCCACUAUUGCAACAACAAAUAUGAUAGCUUCUGCUGGUCAUUCUAUGUUUCUGUCAUGUAAGUUUCAGGAAAUAAAUUUAUUCAGUGUGGCAACUGGAAGAAAGCUCAUACUAUUUUAAUGACUUGUGUGGAAUGAGUUAAGUUUGUACCCGUGAAUUGUGUUCAAUGUUUUAUUGAUUCUUCCAUCCUUAUUCCAUCUA